rnacentral:tRNA from 1 species
GCCCACGUAGCUCAGGGGUAGAGCGCUUCCUUGGUAAGGAAGAGGUCAUCGGUUCAAUCCCGAUCGUGGGCUCCA